AAUGAUGGAGACUUUCUUCAGGGAAAAUGGCUGACAGAAAUACUGGGACGGAAGCAAACGUCAGUGAUUAUAACGUCAUGACAAAUCAUGCAAAAAUGGACUCCUGAAACAACCAGCAAACCAGGGUGUCAUCUUGUGAAACAAUGGAUGUAAUAAUCUAGCUAGUGUAGAGAAAUGCUAUUUCUUAUGCAGGUCACCAACCUAUUGCUAAUACAUGGCUACAACUCACAGUAAAGCCUGCGGGGUCCCCUACAGGAUAGCUCCCGCAUUACACACUUACUGCCAAACUAGCGCACACACAUAAUCUCCUCUCUAGCCGAACAUUGUGUGCCCGAAGAGGAUUCCACGAUGACGGACAGACAACUGAGCCAAUGGCGGAAGACUACAGACUACACCCAGCCUGAACCAAUCCAAAGAUCCGAUCUUCUAGAAUCAACCUACUUUCUGUGCCAUAUAUUAGGGCUGUGCUGAUUGUUAACGGCCUCUUUUCCUGCUGUUCUGUGCGAGCUAACUGGGAGAGCCGUAAUUACGCUGUACUCGAUAUCUUCACUCUGAAUAAACUGUCGCUUGUCAUACAAUUUACCACUUUGUCUGAAUCGAUCCUUGACCGGCUCACCCAUCUACAUAUCUAAUUACUAACACUAGCUAAAGCAUUUACUGCAAAUUGAAUGUACAAUUUUGUAAACUGGCCUUGCUGAUAUUUUCCAUGCAUUGCAGAUAGAUGAAAUAAUGUAGAUAGCUAUGUUCUUGCUUAUUGUGCAGUGGAGUAUAAAAAUACCUGUAUGCCCUAUGGAUGUGUAGCUAGCUAUCUAGCCGAUCUGUGUAUGGACACAAACGUUUGGUAUACAAUAUUAGUUCAGAACCUAGCCAUGAACCUCAGCUAUCAUAGCCAGUUGUGUCAACAUCAAAACAGUCUGAAUGACAUUAAUGAAGCCUAUGGAUUGAGUAGAAUAUAAUAUAACUUUGUGCCAAGGAUGCAAGUCGUAUACAUGUAGUUAAUACCAUGCAUGAGAUGCCACAUCGUAGCUUGUACAUUUAAUAUAUUCACUGAAAAUGUACUCUACCUUGGCAAAUAAAGGUGCAGUUCAGGUA